rnacentral:rRNA from 1 species
UACGAAGGGUGCAAGCGUUACUCGGAAUUACUGGGCGUAAAGCGUGCGUAGGUGGUUUGUUAAGUCGGGUGUGAAAGCCCCGGGCUCAACCUGGGAAUUGCAUUCGAUACUGGAUAGCUAGAGUUCGGCAGAGGGAAGCGGAAUUUCCGGUGUAGCGGUGAAAUGCGUAGAUAUCGGAAGGAACAUCAGUGGCGAAAGCGACUUCCUGGACCAAUACUGACGCUCAUGUGCGAAAGCGUGGGGAGCAAACAGG